CGGCGUUGAUGGAGAGAUCACUGACUGCUUACUCUUGUUAGCUUUGACGAUGCUAGUCGCUUACGUGUCGAGUGAAUGCCAAACAUGGAAGACAUGAGGACACUGCCCGAGACGGGAAGGAGAUGACUGACUGUCGGAGCCAUUGACAUGUGUCUGUGGUCAGAGCGAGGGGAAUUACUGUAAGUUAGCAUCGUGAACUGAAGGGGAAGUGAAGAGGAACACAUCCUGCUGGAUAUCCUCUGUUUUGCACUGUGGAUGAGAUGGGAACAAUAAACCAGAUGAGUUGAGGACUGAAAGGAAAACAAGGAGGUCCACAUGUGAGGCAGCUGCUGAUGAAAACUUCCGAACCAGAUGCCAGUCAAAAAGCAACAUUAUAGCUGCAGCCAGAGAGGCAUACUAUGUAAAAAGUGGUGCUGAAACAAGAGUGACGCACCUCCAUUAUACUGUAUUCAAGUUUUACACUGUAGAGCUAUAACUGUAAUCAGUAUAUGCAAAUAAAAAUCAACACCUACUUGCUGAAGUUAGUGUCUUCUAGUGCAUGCUGUUUUUAAUUAUCAUUCUCCAGAAGAACAGCAGUAGCAUUAUAAUUAUUAACAGUAACAGCACGAAGAAUCAGCAUCUACCACUAAAGUAAGACUUGCAUACUAAUAGCCAAUUUUGAUCUCAGUUCUGCUGCCCGUUAGACCCUGAAAGUUUUGCAUUUCUAUAUAAAAUGUUAAAAGUAACCCCCCCCUCCUGCAGUACACUAUCAUCAGGAUUAAUAGAUUGUUAGUGGUACAUGAAAAGGCAUGCAGCUGCAGAUCAGUGAGUGCGUAACUGUUCACACCUUUCCUUCCAGCAGGAAAGACUUGGCUGUCCAAGCACAAGACUUCCUGCAGACCAAAUUAACCCAAUGGGUCUUUUCCUGCCAGACUGUUUCCUGAGCUAAUGAGCCAUUGCCAGCCUCUUAUGAUAGAAAUGUGCAGCUGCAGAGACCUUUCUUUGUGUGUCAAGUCCUGAAGAAAUGAUUGUGUGAUUUAAAGCAGUGGCUUCCAAUUUAAAAUUCUUUCAAUAAACAACUUUGAUUCAGUUAA